UACGUAGGGUGCGAGCGUUAAUCGGAAUUACUGGGCGUAAAGGGCUCGUAGGCGGCCAACUAAGUCAUACGUGAAAUCCCUCAGCUUAACUGGGGAACUGCGUGUGAUACUGGAUGGCUUGGAUUUGGGAGAGGGAUGCGGAAUUCCAGGUGUAGCGGUGAAAUGCGUAGAUAUCUGGAGGAACACCGGUGGCGAAGGCGGCAUCCUGGACCAAUAUUGACGCUGAGGAGCGAAAGCCAGGGGAGCAAACGGG
rnacentral:rRNA from 1 species